UACGAAGGGGGCUAGCGUUGCUCGGAAUCACUGGGCGUAAAGGGUGCGUAGGCGGGUCUUUAAGUCAGGGGUGAAAUCCUGGAGCUCAACUCCAGAACUGCCUUUGAUACUGAAGAUCUUGAGUUCGGGUGAGGUGAGUGGAACUGCGAGUGUAGAGGUGAAAUUCGUAGAUAUUCGCAAGGACACCAGUGGCGAAGGCGGCUCACUGGCCCGAUACUGACGCUGAGGCACGAAAGCGUGGGGAGCAAACAGG
rnacentral:rRNA from 1 species